CAACUACUCCCUCCGUUCGGAAUUACUUGUUGCAAAAAUGGAUGUACCUAGACGUAUUUUAGUUCUAGAUACAUCCAUUUCCGAGACAAGUAAUUCCGAACGGAGGGAGUACCUA
rnacentral:pre_miRNA from 1 species